AUUGAACGCUGGCGGCAGGCCUAACACAUGCAAGUCGAGCGAGCGGCGGACGGGUGAGUAAUGCCUGGGAAUUGCCCAGUCGAGGGGGAUAACAGUUGGAAACGACUGUUAAUACUGCAUUCGACUGGAUUGCCCAGGUGGGAUUAGCUAGUUGGUGAGGUAAUGGCUCACCAAGCCGACGAUCCCUCGCUGGUCUGAGAGGAUGAUCAGCCACACUGAAACGGAGACACGGUCCCGGCUCCUACGUGAGGCAGCAGUGGGGAAUAUUGCACAAUGGGGGAAGUCCUGAUGCAGCCAUGCCGCGUGUGUGAAGAAGGCCUUCGGGUUGUAAAGCGCGUUCAGCGAGGAGGCGUUACUCGCAGAAGAAGCACCGGCGAACUCCGUGCCAGCAGCCGCGGUAAUUC
rnacentral:rRNA from 1 species